CUGGGGAGUACGGUCGCAAGAUUAAAACUCAAAGGAAUUGACGGGGACCCGCACAAGCGGUGGAUGAUGUGGAUUAAUUCGAUGCAACGCGAAAAACCUUACCUACCCUUGACAUGGCUGGAAUCCCUGAGAGAUUGGGGAGUGCUCGAAAGAGAACCAGUACACAGGUGCUGCAUGGCUGUCGUCAGCUCGUGUCGUGAGAUGUUGGGUUAAGUCCCGCAACGAGCGCAACCCUUGUCAUUAGUUGCUACGAAA
rnacentral:rRNA from 1 species